rnacentral:lncRNA from 1 species
CCGCCCCAGCUGGUAGUAGCCUGGUACCUCCCCUGCAGCACGUCUGUCUUCCCCUCCGCCACAUCCUCCACUGACUUCCCCCUCCUCCCUCUAAGACUACUCGGUCGAGCCCAGCGAGAGGCCGUCUGGGGCGGGCACUGCCGCCGCUGACGACAUCGAAGCCUCCAUGCCGAUCUCCUGACGCCUCUUGCUUGCUCUGGCCGCGGGAGAUUAGGCCCGUCGGAUGGCAGCGGCGCGCGGCGGCUGACUCUGGUCCCCUCGCGUUACCCAACCCAGGGCUUGGAGCGCGGCGCGCAUGACGUCGGGAGGGAGGGAGACGACGGAGGAGACGACCGCAGUGGGGCCCGAGAGGAGCACGAAGGUGCCCUGAUGAGCGCGUCGCCGGCGAGGAGAUUGCGGAGGAGAGGCGGACCGCGCCCGGGGCCCGCCGGCUGGUGCCUGGCGUCGGGCCAACUCCACCGCGCGACCCUAUCCUGUCCGGCCCGUCCGUUUGAGGUAAAAGGGGUAAAUCAGACGGUCCAGCGCGCGGGUGCAAACGGAUUUUUGUCCGUUUUAAGUUCGCUUUCGACCCAUACCCGGCUCAAGUUUACGUCGAUUUUAGGGUGAAACGGACAGCGCGCGGACAGAUGGGACGCGCGCGCUUGUCCUCCCGUAACCCGUCUGUCGGUGGCACAAAGCAACCCCUGCCCGCCCAUUUGACGCCAUUUACAGCAAACCCUUCCGGCCUCAUUUGGUUGUAAGGGAUCCCGGGGGAUCCCUGCGUUUUCCCCGGGUGGGUACACCACGGGCUGAGUUCGCCCCGGGGAAGCGGGCGGCCCCAUUUGGUAGCACGUGAGGCGGGGAGAUCCCUGGCCUUUCCACGGCCCAUCCCCGGGAUAGAUCUCCCGAUGUCGAUAGGUCUGGGAGUAAACCCUCGACUGGCUCGCUCUCCCUGCGACCGGUGGCGACGGCCUCCGCCUCCAGCCUCCACCUCCGUUCGGUGCAUCUCCGUCCGACGACCGGAUAGCGCCGCCCCCCGCGCCCUCCCUCAAGAGAACCGCCUCCACAGUCCGUCCCUCCGGCAGCAGCGACGGCGACGGACCGGGCGUCAUCCAUCUCCCCUCUGCCUCAAAGCUUCUAUCACCUCCGGCGACGACGAUGGCCAAGAGGUCACCCUCCUUUCACCAAGGUUAUUACCUCCUCCUCCUCUUCUAUCCAGUGUUUUUCUUCUCCAUGGUGAUGUCUUCCCUGCUACACGCACUGACGAGCACCUGUACAGAUCCAAGAAACUCCUCUUGCGUCUGAGAUUUGUAUCACAAGUGAGCAAGUGUACACCUUACAUCCACGUUUGCAGCACCUCUAACCAUCCUGAUCUCACAACUAAGCACAAUCACCUUUGUUUCCUUGUGAUGUUGUAUACACGAUGCUAAUCUAUGCACAGUGUUCUUUGUGAUUAAUUAACUCUUGUAAUGCUAUUUUUUGAGUCAGGCAUAGCUAACAAGCUGUAUAUUUGAACAAUGGCUUUAUGGAGGUGUAUAGUAUUAGCUUUCCUUUAUAAAUGGUUAACACAACAUUUAAUUUCACCUGAAAUCAACAUUAUGACAUGCUGACUAUAACCAAACAAAGACAACUUUUAUCAUGCAGCCCAACAUCUUAGGGUUGAGAAUUUUGUCAUAGGAUCUGCACCAUGGGCUGCAUUUACUUAUUAAAUCCUUGCACUUUUUCUAGAUGCUUCCUAUGAUCUUACUUGUUGUGAAUUAUCUUGCAAUACCAUUUUAUUUAACUCACCAUGCCAAGAGGACAUGCCUUGUUUUACAAUCGCUAGUUGGUCCAUGUUUUGCUUGGUUCUCUGAAAACAUGUGUGGCAUGAACCUGAACUGCACUAAUUCUUGAUGUGAUGUAUAACUCGAAGAUGGUUACUUCAGUGCACAGUGAGCUGAUGCAUCACAUGACAUCCCUUGAAAUUCUUUUACUGCUCCCCUUCAAACUUGGCACUGUUCUUGAUUACAGUCUUGUUCCCACCAGAUGCAUGAACAUGAGCUCAAUACUUAAUACGACAGGUAUAUGACAUGAGUAGGCCUUGCAUGAUCAAGAAAACCAAUGAUACAAAUUGCAUCUGUCGGUAAACUUUUGUCGAUGAACUUCCAGGCGCUGUAUCAUGAGCUAGCAGAGUAUGUGCAUCUGUGCUCCUGCCGCUCCACUUCCAGGUGAUGGCGUCGGGUUGGUCAGAGAGGGUGAAGCUCUCAAGUUCCCGCCAAAGUAUCAGGUAAUGUCCAAUCUCAUCGAGGCCGAUCAUUCAAGUUCUCGAAAAUUUGAAGCUUGAUUUGUAAAACGCAUAGUAGUGAUAAAGCAAUUAAAAGAUGAAUCCAUGUACUAUUAAGACUGCGGAUUAUCCAAAAGAGAGACCAACAUUUUAUAAUGUUUGCAUCUGUUUGUUUGCCAACAUGCAUAUAAAUAAGAAUUUGUGCUUAUGUUAUAUAUAUACUAGUUUAAAAUCUCAUAUUGUGUAGUAACAACAAUGUUCCUUUUUUGCUUUGCAGGUUUCCUAAAGAUAGCAAAUAAAAAUGUUCAAAGAAGUUGAUGCUGGAAGUUUCAGUAAAGUGUCUAUUUCAACAGCAAAACUUUUUGCUAUGGACGUGUCACAUAUGGGCAUUUUUUUAAUGGAGCUAAAUGCUUAUUCUUGCUGGAUUUUUAACCGUAGUUAGUAUUUAAAAAAACAUGAUUAGCACAAUAAAUUUUAUCCUCAGUAGUGUUGUGUAAUUUGUGCGACUCGACCGCAUAACUUAUUGUUAGCAUGUAAUUGGGUUGAAGUGUUAAUUUGCUGAUUAUGUGUGUGUUAUUAUUUUCUCCAAAAAAAUCCUGAAUUAUUCUCUAUCUUCCUGAGAACUUGUGUCAUUUCUGGACUUAUCAAGGAAAUAUACAGAAAUUUUAAUUACUUUUUUUUGCGGGAGAAUUUUAAUUACUUCUGAACUGAUAUGAUAUUUCUGUAAAGAAACCAGAGUUAUUUUUUAUGAUGUUUGAAUAUGAGAUUUUUUUUCCAAA